rnacentral:rRNA from 1 species
AUUGAACGCUGGCGGCAUGCCUUACACAUGCAAGUCGAACGGUAACGCGGGGCAACCUGGCGACGAGUGGCGAACGGGUGAGUAAUGCAUCGGAACGUGCCCAGUAGUGGGGGAUAACUGCUCGAAAGAGCAGCUAAUACCGCAUACGACCUGAGGGUGAAAGCGGGGGAUCGCAAGACCUCGCGCUAUUGGAGCGGCCGAUGUCAGAUUAGGUAGUUGGUGGGGUAAAGGCCCACCAAGCCAACGAUCUGUAGCUGGUCUGAGAGGACGACCAGCCACACUGGGACUGAGACGCGGCCCAGACUCCUACGGGAGGCAGCAGUGGGGAAUUUUGGACAAUGGACGCAAGUCUGAUCCAGCCAUGCCGCGUGCGGGAAGAAGGCCUUCGGGUUGUAAACCGCUUUUGUCAGGGAAGAAACGCUCUGGGUUAAUACCUCGGGGUAAUGACGGUACCUGAAGAAUAAGCACCGGCUAACUACGUGCCAGCCGCCGCCGUAA